rnacentral:lncRNA from 1 species
GUCCGAAAUACGAAAAUGUCGAUAAUUGUUUUACCACCAGGGUUACACAACUCUCACCUCACGACGUCUUCAGUCUUCUGGAUGAGACACCGGACUCAUCCUUCCAUUGCGGUGGCCGUAAUAACAAUCCACAAUAAUGAUGUUUAAUAAUCCACAAUGAUGUAUAAUAUAAUCCACAAUGAUAUAUAAUAAUCCACAUGAUAAUAUAAUCCACAAUAUAUAAUAAUCCAAGGUGCAAUAAUCCAGUUACCCAACAGCACAUCCAAGAUAACAAAAAUAAAAGUCCUAUUGCGGAAACGUGUUGGUGAUCGAUCCUGAAGGGGUCAACUAUGCGUUUUCACGCUUCAGUCCUAACCUAACUAGUUAACGAAUUUAUUCAAAUUCACUCGUUAUGUUGUGGCCUUAACUGGAAUCCUAACAGAGCCUAGAUCUUGUGGUCCUAAACGUUUGUUAAGGAAGAUGAGCAGGGCUCUCUCAACUCCUCUUGUAAACACGCUAAUGCAUGCACCGUGAAAUACUUCAUGCAACUCUCC